AAGGAUCAAAAGAAAAUCGAAAGAGCCGCGGAAGUUGAACUAAAAGUAUUUCGUUAAUUUUCAAACAACAAAUUCUCAGUAAUUUUUAUUUUUAUUUUAUAUUUUUAUUCUUUUUUUUCUUUUUCAGAUCAAAAUGAAUAUGUAAUGACAUCCUACUUUUCUUUUUCUAUUUUUUUCUUUCUAUUUUUUUCUUUUUCAACUUUUUUUCUUUUGUUCUGCCAACUUUUUUUUAAAAUCAAAUAUCACAAGUAUAAUGAUUAAACCCCAUACAACUCCAACAAGACUCUUUCAACCCUAUGAAUGAGUGAUAACAUUGUUUUUCACUUUCAGGUUUGUAAUGAGUUUAAACAAAUAAUGAGAUGAUAGAAGGGAGUUUUCAAACAAUGGAUGAUAUUAUUCAGGGUUGGAUUUUCGGCUACUGACUACAAAAUAAAUAAAAC
rnacentral:lncRNA from 1 species